rnacentral:ncRNA from 1 species
UUAAAGUUUUAUUCUUGCUGAAUUAUUCAUUUUAUAGUUACAUCAUAUACCAAUUUUUAUUUUUAUAAUUUUGAUUAGUAGUGGUAAAUAUUAUUGUUUAGGUUAAUCUAGACAUAGUAAUCUAUAUAUUUCCGGUUAAAAUCGUGCCAGCCACCGCGGUUAUACGUGAGUGAAAAAGUGAAUAUUAUUGGUUUAGUAGUUAAAUAUUUAUUUUCUUUAAAUUUAAAAUUUUUAGGUGAAAUUUUAAUUUUAUUAUAAAAGGAUUUUGUUGAAACUAUGAAAUUUAUUUUAAAGACAAGGAUUAGAUACCCUUUUAUUUUAAAUGUAAAUAUGAACCUGGGUAUUAAUAGUUAUGUUCUUGAAACCCAAAGAAUUUGGCGGUAUUUUAUUCUUUUUAGAGGAACCUGUCCUAUAAUUGAUAAUCCACGAUAGGAUUUACUUAUCCUUGUUUUCAUUUUGUAUACCUCCGUCAUCAGGGUAUCCUUUUAGGGAUAAAUAUUCUCAGUAUACAAAAUAUAGUAUGUCAGGUCAAGGUGCAAUUUAUGGGUAAGUAGAGAUGGGUUACAAUGAAAGUAUUUAUACGGAUUAUUAUUUUUAAUGUUGAUAUGAAGGUGGAUUUAAAAGUAAAAUUAUUUUAUUUAUUAAUUUGAUUUUAGCCCUAAAAUAUGCACACAUCGCCCGUCGCUCUUAUUUUAAAAUAAGAUAAGUCGUAACAUAGUAGGUGUACCGGAAAAAC